ACGAACGCUGGCGGCGUGCUUCACACCUGCAAGUCGAACGGAAAGGCCCCUUUGGGGGUACUCGAGUGGCGAACGGGUGAGUAACACGUGAGUAACCUGCCCUUGACUUCGGGAUAACUUCAGGAAACUGGGGCUAAUACCGGAUAGGAAUCCUUGCUGCAUGGUGGGGGUUGGAAAGCUUCGGCGGUUUUGGAUGGACUCGCGGCUUAUCAGCUUGUUGGUGGGGUAGUGGCUUACCAAGGCUUUGACGGGUAGCCGGCCUGAGAGGGCGACCGGCCACAUUGGGACUGAGAUACGGCCCAGACGCCUACGGGAGGCAGCAGUGGGGAAUAUUGCACAAUGGGCGGAAGCCUGAUGCAGCAACGCCGCGUGCGGGAUGACGGCCUUCGGGUUGUAAACCGCUUUCAGCAGGGGCGAAGCUUGUGGUGACGGUACCUGCAGAAGAAGCACCGGCUAACUACGUG
rnacentral:rRNA from 1 species